rnacentral:lncRNA from 1 species
AUGCUUCCAGAUAAGGACAUGCCACACUUACAGUUGCCUACCACCAUUAACACAUCCUCUUCUGCGUGGUCACGUGAAGACGGCGCUGGCUUGUCAGCACUUCUUGCCUCCUUCCUUUUCCCAUCGGCUUCAGAGGGCUCGUGUGGAGCUGCUACGCGUUGGUUCCGCAGCAGCAUUUUGAUUACCUCUCCUACACCGCCACUGUCGGCACGGACCGAGCCAUCCAGCAGUCCAGUGAGUGUAUUGCUCCUGACAAGCUGUAUUUGCCCUGGAUAAGUCAGGUAGCAUAUCUCCAGUUGCAGGUAAUAGGCAGGAACAUCCUCUCUGCAUCGUCUUUGAAGAUUUUCCUGUCUCUGUUUCACCCAAAGGGCCUCAAAAAGCACAAAUUAUCAUCUCAGGCUGCA